rnacentral:rRNA from 1 species
GAUGAACGCUAGCUACAGGCUUAACACAUGCAAGUCGAGGGGAAACGACAUCGAAAGCUUGCUUUUGAUGGGCGUCGACCGGCGCACGGGUGAGUAACGCGUAUCCAACCUGCCCAUCACUUGGGAAUAACCUUGCGAAAGUAAGACUAAUACCCAAUGAUAUCCCACGAAGGCAUCGGAAUGGGAUUAAAGAUUUAUCGGUGAUGGAUGGGGAUGCGUCUGAUUAGCUUGUUGGCGGGGUAACGGCCCACCAAGGCAACGAUCAGUAGGGGUUCUGAGAGGAAGGUCCCCCACAGUGGAACUGAGACACGGUCCAAACUCCUACGGGAGGCAGCAGUGAGGAAUAUUGGUCAAUGGGCGAGAGCCUGAACCAGCCAAGUAGCGUGCAGGAAGACGGCCCUAUGGGUUGUAAACUGCUUUUAUAAGGGAAUAAAGUGGGUCACGUGUGACUUUUUGCAUGUACCUUAUGAAUAAGAACCGGCUAAUUCCGUG